AUAAACCACCUGCAGAAAAACAGCAAAACAAGGUUCUUACACGAGAAGGGGUUUCAAGAACUCAUAUCCUUGAAAGAACUAUACAUCUAUGGGUGCCCCAAGUUGCAGUCACUUCCAGUAAAAGGGCUGCCACCUUCUUUUGAAACUUUCUCUAUGAGAUUGCCUUUUGCUGGAAGCAAAGUAUGGUACGACCAAGAUUUGUCGCAUCCCUAAGCCUCAAGUGUCCAUUAGUCGACAACUCAAAAUUAAGCUAUCCUUCAGCUGGUUUGGGCCCAAAGUCAUAGUGUUUCACAUCGUCCUCAUUCUCUUAUGUGUAUAUUUACUUAUGUAUUUCAAUUUCUAUGAGAGACGAUUUCUGAGACCGAAGAGGAUUGCCCAGAUUUCAACUUGAAAACCAUAAUUUCUCAAGGCAAACAAACUUCACCAUAUCUGAACCACAAUACAAAAUCUUCAUCUCUUUUUUUCUUUUCCUUUUGUGAACCAAACCAUGUGAUCCACUCCAUAGGACCAUAGCAGCUGCUGCCGAAGAAGCUCCCUAGACCAACUCACACCACUCAUUGCCAACACCAUUCUUCCUCUUCUCUCUCCGUCGCGCACUGUGAGUUUCUCUUUUACCUUUUUUUCUUCAUCAAAAAGGACCAUUUUAUCUUAAAAAUUGUAGUUUUAACUAAUAUAUUUUCACACUUCUGUAUUUUUGUGGAUGGCGGAGGAAAAGUUGGAGUUGGACCCAAAUGUCCCAUCUGAACAAAAUGGGACUUUAGAGGCUGCAAAUACCAGUGAUGAGCGUGUUGAUCAGGCUCCAACACUCCAAAACGAUGACAAAGGUGGCUGGAAUCGACGUUCGUCUUUGUGAUAUUGUUGCUGCAAUUCAAGAGGUCAUGGAGUCUUAUGAGUUUGAAAUUAUUGAAAAGGUGCCUCAAGUAAAACAGGCAAUUCAGGGACUUGAUGAAGGGUGCUGAGCAUGAAAGCAAGAGAGAAGUGCCCACUCUACAUUCCUGGAUCAUUGGCAUUCCCCAAAUGUCUUACCUCAGCUCCAGGAAGAAGAAUGGUGGCUCCAGAUAGUCCGGUUGUCUUCGACAUGAGCUUGGAAUACAUACCAGGCUUGGAAUUUGAGGAAGAAGAAGAAUAAUGACACAAUUUUUGGUUGAGCUGUAUAACCUUUGACCAUGAAAUAAGGGGUCUUGGUAUAUAUGCAGCUGCAGCACAGCAACAACUUAUUAUGUCCCAACUUUUACUUUUGGUUGAGCUGUUAACCGCAUUAUUCGAAAGGCUAAUAAUGCUAAAGUUAUUUGGACUGAGUUUUGUUUGCUUUAUUGCUCUUUCUUUCUUUGUAAUUAAAAAUGAUACAAACGUAAAUUAUGAUCUUACAUUUUCCUCCUCCCCUGUUUUCAUGACAACCAAAAACUAAUCAUUAAUCACUAAUCACUAAUCAUUAGUCA